AGAGCAGUGUGAGUCCUGGAAGGCAGAGGCUGCUCUGUUUGCUCCCUGCUCUGUCCAAGGCACCCAGAACUAUGUCACAGAGAGGUGCAAGACAUUCGCUGACCAAUGAGCCACCCACUGGCUGGCCGCAUCUCCAUCCCACCAGUCCCGACUUUCUAAAGAAACUGAACACAUCCAGGGAGAGACACUGAGGAUGGAUCCCAAGACCACACACACCCUCAUCGAGGCCUCAGACUGCAGGGGUGGGACCUCCGCUGCUCUCAUGGCCUGGAGAGGAUGCGGGGGGCUGCCCUGUGAGUCUGUCUCCAACGAUGGCUAUCAAAAGGGAGAGGGAGCUAAACUGGUGGGCACCCCCAAAUUGAGGCUCCAAAACUGAGAGACUCAGUUCCCUCAGAGGCCUAGUCCAGUGACACCCCAUCCUGCAGGGACCCUCCUAUCUCAGGGACACACACCCCUUUUCCUAUGCCCCUAUGCACAUGGUGGCCACACACUGCUUCUCAUGACAGGUGGCCACACCUAGGGAUAGUUCUCACAACCCUGGGCUCUUAAGCUGUUUGUCCCUUUCUGUUCACAGACAUGCAGCAGUAAUAACAGCAAGAGCAGCAGUGAUGGCAGAAAUGCACACUAGAAGGGCCCUGUCCGCAUCCGGGGCCCUGCUCCAAGUCAGCUUCAGGCGGCUGUCAUGUGGCCGAACUCAGUAUGGCCUGAGAACCAGGCCGCCCCUCUUAUUCCGGAACCUACGUGACUACGCCUUUGUGGCUGUUAUCAGCAAGGCCAUCACAGCGCUUACCCAGAACCAGAACAGGUGGAGGCUGAGGUCAGACACGGUGGGGGAGCUGCAGGUCAGACCUGGGGGAGGAGGGAGGAUUCCUCCCCUCCCCUGACUGUGCCCAACCUCUAGUGACUCAUUUUCAAGCCAUUGAGUGUGAAUGUUUUUAGUGUAGAAAUGUAUUUAGUGUAGAAUUGCUUAAAUUCUGAAAAGCACCAAAAAGGUAGUAAAAGUCACCCAGGAUGAUCCCACCAAAAAUAAGCAGGGUUACUUUGUGUCCAUUUUCUUCCAGAAUGUUCUCUAGAUGAAAAAAAAACUAAUAAAAUGUAGAGAGAAUUGUUUCCCUUUCCAGUUGCUUCAUUUGGUUUCUCUACAUUGUUCUAUACUG
rnacentral:lncRNA from 1 species